UUUCAGGAUUUAUUUAAAUCCAUCCCAGUUUAGAAGAAGAAGAAACU
rfam:Gavia stellata contig35288, whole genome shotgun sequence.